GAAAUGUCCGAUAAGGAGUUACACUUCCUAGAUGUUCAACUCACUAUUCGUAAUGGGGCGAUUAGCACUAACUUGUAUAGAAAAGGAACAGAUAGAAAUAACUUACUCCAUGCCCAGAGUUUUCAUAACCCAAGUACCGUUAAAGCAAUCCCUAAGGGUCAGUUUUUAAGGGCCAAAAGGAUUGCCUCUACAGAUGAUGAUUAUAGAAGGGCUGGCCAGUCCUUAAGUGAGCGGUUUGUACAAAGGGGAUAUGAGUCUAAGCAUGUCAAAAAAGUAAUGGAGGAAGUAAAGUCUAUACCAAGGAAAGAACUGUUACAAAAAAGUCGGCAGGUGAGACAGAAGGAUAACCGGAGUAUGUUUGUGUCCAAAUUCGUUAGACAUAGCAAAAAUAUAGAAAAGGUUAUAAAGAAAUAUUGGCCUGUUCUCCAACGAGAUAAGACUUUUGGGAAGUUAUUUAAGGAUCCCCCACGGUUCUGCUACAGGAAGGGCAUGAGUAUUAGGGACAUGCUAUGCCCUUCAGAGUUACCUAUAGAAAAGAAACAGAUGUUCCUGGGAAUACAGAAGAAAGGUACCUUUCCGUGCUUGAAUUGUGUCUGUUGCGCCUCGAUAAUAAAAGGGUCAAGCAUUAAUCAUCCCACUAAAGGCAAUAAACUAAAUUUGAAUGACUAUGCCACAUGUGAAUCGAAAGGGGUCAUAUACAUGUUGAAGUGCCCAUGUGGCCUAGUCUAUGUGGGGCAAACAAUUAGAAAUGUAAAAACCAGGAUUAAAGAGCAUAAAGGGGACAUAAGGAAUUAUAAACCAGGAUCUCAGACAGAUACGACUGUAGCCCGACAUUUUAAUGAGGCAAAACAUAGCCACGGGCAAUUGAAAUGGGUGGUCCUCGAAGUAGUACAACCAUUAAGUCGAGGUGGUAACUUUAAGCAAAAGAUGCUACAACGUGAAGCCAAAUGGAUUUCUAAAUUGAAUUCACUAGCCCCAGUUGGGCUUAAUGAUGCCUGGAGUUUGAAAUGCUUUUUAUAAGAAUUGUAAUAUUUACUCUUAUUUAUUUCAGAUAUUAAGUGAUGCCUAUCCUCUCAGCUGGGGGUAAGAGUGUAUCUGAAGAUAUGGAACCUUGGCACUUGGACACUACAUGUACACUGGAGAUCACUGGGACUUUUAAACGUUUUAUACGUUCUAUGUUUUCUACCUAUUUUACACUUUUACUCUGGACUAAUGAGUUAAUUGGUGGGAGGAGGAGCACUGUUUGGCAAUUAAGGCUAUAAGAUGUGGUUUGAUCAUGUGAUUGUUACACUUGAGAAAGGGUCCAUGUGACUCGAAACAUGUCGUGUGUACAAUAAAGCACUAACGCAGCAGA